rnacentral:rRNA from 1 species
CCUACGGGUGGCUGCAGUGGGGAAUAUUGGACAAUGGGCGAAAGCCUGAUCCAGCCAUGCCGCGUGUGUGAAGAAGGCCUUCGGGUUGUAAAGCACUUUCAGUGGGGAAGAAAGCCUUGGGGCUAAUACCCUCGAGGAAGGACAUCACCCACAGAAGAAGCACCGGCUAACUCCGUGCCAGCAGCCGCGGUAAUACGGAAGGUGCGAGCGUUAAUCGGAAUUACUGGGCGUAAAGCGCGCGUAGGCGGUCUGAUAAGCCGGUUGUGAAAGCCCCGGGCUCAACCUGGGAACGGCAUCCGGAACUGUCAGGCUAGAGUGCAGGAGAGGAAGGUAGAAUUCCCGGUGUAGCGGUGAAGUGCGUAGAGAUCGGGAGGAAUACCAGUGGCGAAGGCGGCCUUCUGGACUGACACUGACGCUGAGGUGCGAAAGCGUGGGUAGCAAACAGGAUUAGAUACCCGAGUAGUC